UUUUCCUCCAAAAAGGUCUUGCGCAGCACUUUUAUUUCACCUCUCUUCUAUCUGUGGUCUCGAAGCUUGCUGCCAGCUGCAUAAUGUGCUGUGUUUAAGGUGUGGCGGCAUGAAGAGCAGGGGAUGCUGCGGCGGGAGGGCGCAAUGGUGAGAAUGACACGCAUGCAUGCAUGAUGACACGAGCGACGUAGCAGGGACAUUCAUGCAUACGACAGCAUCGAGUGACGGUAGGAGGAAGUGAUAGCGUGAACCUUGCUGUCUCUUGCGUGCAGUACCCCGGCCGGCAGAUCACCAUGAUGUUCGCAACAUCUAAAUGCAUAUAGCAAUAUCAUAGUACAAGUAUGCACUACUCCGAGAUAAGGUGGCUGACACUACGAUACCAGAAGCCAGAGCAUGCAAGAGGCAGAAGACAACAAUAGAACAAAGAGGAAGGAGCUGAAAGCUGAAUGGCGAGAUCCGAAAGCUGCUUUAGACAGCUAUUGAGAAGAUAGACCGCCUAUACCAAGUUUCCGCCAAAGGAAUUUACUUCAGGUCGAGACAAGAUAGCAUAGUGCAAUUUACAAAACGAGAGCCAUAGGUGAUGUUUUGGACAAGUGUCUUCAUUCCUUUGCCCCUACUAAUCCGCAAACUGUAGUGUGUUGUGAUUCGUGGGACAGUGCUGUGUAUGAAGCUGCUGAGAUAGGACGCGCACAUGCUGUUCAUUCGCAACAAUACUAAUAGGACACGGUGUGUGCCUUUUGUUUUCAUGUUCAGGUACAACUUGUUGUUGUUCUCCAGGGGCGAACCGUGGUAUAUAUGAAAAAAAGGAGGAGUCGUGUAACAUGUGCUUAAGUACGAUCUUCUUUCAUCUUCUUCUCUUCUUGCUGUUCACCACCUCCUCUUCUCCACUCAUACCGGGCCCUUGAUUGUCCCUUGGGACUAAAAGAUCAACGAAGAAAUAGUUAUUUGUAACUUGUAACUCGCUGAAGUGCAUCGGUCCAUCAUCUGACAUCUGAUGCGUCUGGAGGUCGGGUUGCAAUAAUGAAUGUUAGUUGGGUUCUG
rnacentral:sRNA from 1 species